rnacentral:rRNA from 1 species
GUGCCAGCAGCCGCGGUAAUACGGAGGGUGCGAGUGUUAAUCGGAAUUACUGGGCGUAAAGGGCGCGUAGGCGGUCGCGCAAGUCGGGUGUGAAAGCCCCGGGCUCAACCUGGGAAUUGCAUUCGAUACUGCGUAACUAGAGUCUGGUAGAGGGAAGCGGAAUUCCGCAUGUAGCGGUGAAAUGCGUAGAUAUGCGGAGGAACACCAGUGGCGAAGGCGGCUUCCUGGACCAAGACUGACGCUGAGGCGCGAAAGCGUGGGGAGCAAACAGGAUUAGAUACCCUGGUAGUCCACGCCCUAAACGAUGAGGACUAGACGUUGGGGGGAUAAAACCCUUUAGUGUCGCAGCUAACGCGUGAAGUCCUCCGCCUGGGGAGUACGGCCGCAAGGUUGAAACUUAAAUGAAUUGACGG